ACUCCGCGGCCGCGCGGCUAGGGUGAAGCCGCCGUGGGCCCCAUCUUCCGGCGGCCGGCGGAGUUUGUGGUGAUUGUUGCCGCCCUCCGCCCCGGCUGCCAUCUCCUCCUCUUCCUCCUCCUCCUCCUCCUCCUGGGCCGGGCUGGUCCCCUCCCCGCGGCCGCCUCCUCCUGGGCUGGGCCCGCGGAGUCUCGUCCCCUCGCGGAGCCGCCGCCGCCGCCGCCGCCUCCUCAUUCAUCCUCGUGCACCAUAGGCGGCACAGGCACCAAGAUGUCCAACCGAGUGGUCUGCCGGGAAGCCAGCCACGCCGGGAGCUGGUACACCGCCUCAGGACCUCAGCUGAAUGCUCAGCUGGAAGGUUGGCUUUCACAAGUACAGUCUACGAAAAGACCUGCUAGAGCCAUUAUUGCACCCCAUGCGGGAUACACGUACUGUGGGUCCUGUGCUGCCCAUGCUUACAAACAAGUGGAUCCAUCUGUUACCCGGAGAAUUUUCAUCCUUGGGCCUUCCCAUCAUGUGCCCCUGUCUCGAUGUGCACUCUCCAGUGUGGAUAUAUAUAGGACUCCUCUGUAUGACCUUCGUAUUGACCAAAAGAUUUACGGAGAGCUAUGGAAGACAGGAAUGUUUGAACGAAUGUCUCUGCAGACAGAUGAAGAUGAACACAGUAUUGAAAUGCAUUUGCCUUAUACAGCUAAAGCCAUGGAAAGCCAUAAAGAUGAGUUUACCAUUAUUCCUGUACUGGUUGGAGCUCUGAGUGAGUCAAAAGAACAGGAAUUCGGAAAACUCUUCAGUAAAUAUCUAGCGGAUCCUAGUAAUCUCUUUGUGGUUUCUUCUGAUUUCUGCCACUGGGGUCAAAGGUUCCGUUACAGUUACUAUGAUGAAUCCCAGGGGGAGAUUUAUAGAUCCAUUGAACAUCUAGAUAAAAUGGGUAUGAGUAUUAUAGAACAAUUAGAUCCUGUAUCUUUUAGCAAUUAUUUGAAGAAAUAUCAUAAUACUAUAUGUGGAAGACAUCCCAUUGGGGUGUUAUUAAAUGCUAUCACAGAGCUUCAGAAGAAUGGAAUGAAUAUGAGCUUUUCCUUUUUGAAUUAUGCCCAGUCAAGCCAGUGUAGAAGCUGGCAAGACAGUUCAGUCAGUUACGCAGCUGGAGCACUCACGGUCCACUGAAGCUCCGAUCCUCAGGGAUGCCACCUGCACAGACUCGUACUCUGUCCAGGGUCCAGCCUAGCCUUUACCAAGAUGUUGGUUCUGGUGUGGGGGGAUUCUGAAACCUCAGACUAAUAGAACUCCUUCUUCUUUUCUACAACGUUUUGUUUACCUUAGAUCGCACAAAAAUGCAUAGUCAUGGAGUCCCCUACUCUCCCAGUAGUCAAGUUCUUAGGAAAUGUUCCUCUAGAGAUAAGUUAAGUGAACAGAUGGUAUAUAAUUCAUUUGUAGUUCAAAGUUGGCCAGCAAUUUAGCAGUAGUUUGCCACAGACGGCUGUGCGUUCCUGCCUUGUGAGUCUUCUUAAUUCGAUGCGGUGUCAGCGGCUGGAUUUCUUACUGAAUGUUUACACAGGUAAGUGGACAGUAGGGGACAUUUGGAACUCUUGGAGACUGAUGUAAAAGCACCUUGAGGUCCUUGUAUUUGCUGAAUGAAGUUCAUUGAGUUUUCUUUGCUGCUGUAAACUAAUCAGGAAUGAAAGUAAUGAGUUGUUUGCCUUGCUGUGUAACCAAGGCUGCCCUCAACCUCCGUGGUGUUGGGAUUAUAGGUGUGCAUCACCAGGUCUGACACAAAUGAACAGUUUUGCAUAUUUAAGGACACAAGACAAGUUUAAUAUGAUUUGUUGGCUUUUGCCAUAUAAAGACUUGAAAACGUCCCCUUUUAUGUUAACUCUCAUUUUAUUGAAACAGUGAUCUCUAAUAAACUCAGAAUAAAGAAGAGAUUUUGUUUUGUUUAAUUUUUGAGGCAAAUUUUUUUGUUUGUUUGUUUUUAAAUAGCCCCCAGGCUGUCCUAGAACUUGUAGAUCUGUCUGCCUUUGCCUCCCCAGUGCUGUGAUUCAAAGUGUGGGCCUUCACUACCCAGCGGAAAAUUUUAAUUCAAAUAAUUUUAGUUGUACUACUAUUUUGUCACUGAGGGUCACAGAACACCUGUCAAGUGGUACUCUCAGCUCUAUAGACCUUGGCAUUUUCAAAAUGUUCAGUUUUCAGAAUAACUACCGUCAUUAGAAACACACAGAGGAGCCUUACUACCCCACAUACACAAUGCUGUUUAGACUGGAAAUUGUACAUCAUUGUAUUAAGACUGAAGAGUUACACAGGAAGAGAAACAGAAAGGCCUAUGUGUAACAUGAAGUGGUUGAUGGAAAUAGGUUGGCAUUUAUUUUUGAAGAGAGUAAAUUUAAGAAGCAGUCUUGGAACAUUUGUGUAACUGCCACUCAAGAGGAUUAGAAUUGUUCUCUAUUAAUCUAAGGUGGGUUUUUGUUUUUGUUUUUUGUUUUGUUUGGCCUUUAGUUCCAGCCUGUGGGAGGUAGAGACAACUGAAUCUUCGUGAAUUAUAGGCCAGUUUGGGGCACUUAGCAAGUUCCAGUGCAGCCAAGGUAAUGUAGUGAGACUUAGCUCCAGAGAAAAGAGGGGUAAGAAGCAUACGUUCCUGGUCUGUGUUACGUGGAAUAUGUGAAAAUUUCUGGUGUUAAAAAUUUGCUAUGUUCUCAUCAGAUCACUGGAGACAUGCAAACAAAAAUUAGAUCAGUGAUUCUCAAAGUAGCAGUGAUACCUAUUGAAAAUGUUUUAUGAAUAAUUGUGUGUGUAUAUACACAUACAUUUAUAGGGACAAAAGCCAAUGGAAUUACUGUAGUUAAAUAUAACUUCAUUUAUAUUUCAAAUCAAAAUGCCUUUUAAACAACAUAUACUUUUAACAGAUUAUAAAUUGUUAAAAUGAUGCUUAGAAUCUUAGGCUAAUUCUUUAAAUGUAAAGAUGUCAAUAGAAAGCAAAAUUUUACCAGUUCCUAACACAAAUUGAAGUUGUUUGAGUUUUAAUGGCUGCUUUCUCAAACAAGUACUUCUUCACACUGAAGAAGAGCCACAUCAGUGUCAGGAGAGUGAACUCAACUGAAAGCUGUGUCAGGAGAGUGUACUCAACUGAAGGAGCUGGACAGUGUCAAAGUACUACUGGAAGUAGCAGCAGCUGGCAGACUAAUUCAAGUCAGUUUCCUGCUGUGGCCAGCAUAUGCCUAUAAAUAGGAUCUCAUUGCAUGCAAUAUUAGCACUAGAGGCUGUCCUGUUUUAUAAAUGUUCACCCAGUAGUGUGGCACCUGAGACCUUGGCCUCUUUAAAAUUGGUAUGGAUGGAGUGUGUUUGCUUAGCUGUAUCUGAAUUCUUAGAGGUUGAUGUUUCUAAUACCAUUUAUUCCAGGGUUGACUGGUGAUUUCAGACUGGGUUGUCUAUUGUUUUUCUAUUUUUUCUUUCCUUCCUGUGUG